UACGGGGGGAGCAAGCGUUGUUCGGAUUUACUGGGCGUAAAGGGCGCGUAGGCGGCCACCGCAAGUCGACUGUGAAAUCUCCGGGCUUAACCCGGAAAGGUCAACCGAUACUGCGGGGCUAGAGUGCAGAAGGGGCAACUGGAAUUCUCGGUGUAGCGGUGAAAUGCGUAGAUAUCGAGAGGAACACCUGCGGCGAAGGCGGGUUGCUGGGCUGACACUGACGCUGAAGCGCGAAAGCUAGGGGAGCGAACGGG
rnacentral:rRNA from 1 species